GUGUUCACUUUAGCUGCAUAUAUACUAACAUUGGAAUAAUACAGAGAAGAUUAGCAUGGCCCCUGUGCAAGGAUGACAUAUAAAUUUGUGAAGCAUUCUGUAUUUUU
ensembl:snRNA U6 U6 spliceosomal RNA